UACGGAGGAUGCGAGCGUUAUCCGGAUUUAUUGGGUUUAAAGGGAGCGCAGACGGGUCGUUAAGUCAGCUGUGAAAGUUUGGGGCUCAACCUUAAAAUUGCAGUUGAUACUGGCGUCCUUGAGUGCGGUUGAGGUGUGCGGAAUUCGUGGUGUAGCGGUGAAAUGCUUAGAUAUCACGAAGAACUCCGAUUGCGAAGGCAGCGCACUAAGCCGUAACUGACGUUCAUGCUCGAAAGUGUGGGUAUCAAACAGG
rnacentral:rRNA from 1 species